UACGUAGGGUGCAAGCGUUGUCCGGAAUUAUUGGGCGUAAAGGGCUCGUAGGCGGUCCAUCACGUCGGGAGUGAAAAGCUGGGGCUUAACCCCAGUCCUGCUUCCGAUACGGGUGGACUAGAGGUAGGCAGGGGAGAACGGAAUUCCUGGUGUAGCGGUGAAAUGCGCAGAUAUCAGGAGGAACACCGGUGGCGAAGGCGGGUCUCUGGGCCGAUAUUGACGCUGAGGAGCGAAAGCGUGGGGAGCGAACAGG
rnacentral:rRNA from 1 species